AUGUCCAAUAAUUUUGAUACUCUCCAAUUCAGGCUACUGAAGAAGUACUUAAAUGCAGCACAUCAAGCAGAUUUCCAACCCUGUCCUCCUUCUUUCAGUGAUUUAGACCAUACCCUUCCCGUGCAGUUAAUUCCCCUUGCAGAUAUUGAGAUAAAUUCAAGUGAAAAAAGAGUAUCUCAGAUUCUUCAUUUGUCUGAGAAUUAAGUCUGGGUCACCUGUCUCUGGCUCAUCAUUUAGUACAAUUCUCC
rnacentral:lncRNA from 1 species